rnacentral:lncRNA from 1 species
AGAGGUCCUCUGCUCCCGGGCCCGGCGGGAACAAACUGCCGCGGUGGCGGGAGCUAGGCUCGCUUGGCUGGAGGCGGGUCAUCCUUCUCCUCGCAGCUCCCGCAACCCCGUGGCUCCCUGGAGCCACCACCACCUUCAGUGCGCUCAGUUACUGGAAGUCAAAGCUUAUGCCGGCGCAGCUGCAUCUGGUGGUGGCAGUGGCUACAAACCUCCUCUCCUCAUCUCCCCAAGGCGGCGCCCGGGCCACCCGGGCCGAAGCGCGGAUGGAUCGCCAGUGAGCCGAGAUGGCCAGACCGACGCCGCGGACAAGGACCUACUGGAGGCUAAGGGAGUUCUGGAGGACAAGUGAAGAGAGUGAUCCAGAGGAACAAACUCGGGCGCCGGAAGAUCCUACUCAGAUAGCUUCUCUUAAGAGCCCCAUGGAGAAGCCAUUUUGUGGAUCUGGGAAAGAAAAGCCCUCCUGAGAUUGUAUGGAUAUAAUUAAGUCAGUGGCGAAACUGCUAAAGUUGAACUGCUGACGGGCAAGUUUGUCUCUAGACUCUGAAGAACAUAGCCUGCAGUCUUAAGAGUUUGGAGCUUGAAGAGGACCCUGGCCCGCUCCAGGCACUACUAGCCUGUGAAAAGAGGCAGGAACUAAAUAGGGCGUACCACGUCCAUGCUCUUUUACAAUUUUAUUUACCAACCGGCUAACCUUGGGGAAAGCUGCAGAGCCUAUGCUAGCCCCCUCCCCCUCUCCAAGAGACUACAGCCCCGUUUUGAGAUCUAAAAAACAGCUGCUACAACUCCCAUCUCUAAACCUGCUUUGGAAUCUAAGUUUCUCUUAGCUGAAUUUGGAGGCAGAGACUCAAGAUCCUGUCCCACAAAGAUGGACUUAAAAUGGCCGGGGCCCUAGACACAGAGAUGAAAGAUAGCUGAGAUUCCAGUGUGUGCAUCAUGAUUUCAGCAGCCCAACCCCAGCCGCCUCUGCUCUAUCCCACAGCUAGGGCGACAUCCUUUUCCUCUGGUUCCACCACUCCUGGUCAAGGACCCCUCAAUCCACAGACAAAGUAGUGGGAGGUUUGCUUAAGCGCCUAUGACCUACUCUGCGGCAGCUGCAGCGGGCGGCGGUUGGGACCAGAAUAAGCUACGGAUCCCGAAUCCCGGUCGGUCGCGGGAAGAGGGUUGGGAGCUCAAGAGAGGGUAAAAACAGCACCACCCCCAAACCGCGGAGCGAAGGCGCCUGCUUAAGGUAUCCGAAGAGCUCAAAGCGACUGUAUUAGGCCAAACUUUUCAAGAAAGCUGAGGUUCGGCGAGCCAAUAAGUGGGGGACAAUUGCAGGUGUGCUUGAAGUGUGUGCUCCAAUUCUACACUUUCCCUGGUGGAUUCUAUGGGCCCUAGGUCCGAGGGUCUGUCUGUCUUAGUAUGUAUCUUUUCCCUUGUUUAACUUGCUCAUCGUGGUCAAGAAUGCCGCAGAGUGGCAGACCUCUUACAGAUUUCCACUACCGAUCUCACUUGAUGUUCACUGGGUCCUGGUGACCUGAAACUUCCCUGGAAUGCUGGCUGUUCAUAUCUGCGGGAGCAAGGACCUAGUGUGGGACUGGCCGCUUGAUCUCAGAGGGAAAGGCUGUGUGCUAGCGUGCAGAUCGGGAUGAGAGAUGAAAGUCGGAAGACAGAAGAGUGGGGAGAGAUGCUGCCAUAGAACCUGGUGGGCACGGGGCCGCGACCUCCUUCACACCAAUCUCACACUGCGUCUAGAACAGAGGCACUCUGGGAAUGGACCGCUCUUCUAGUAUCCCAAAUUGGGGUAGGGCAGAAGGGAACUGUGCCUAGCCUUAGGGACUAAGUUCCCCUGUGCAUUGUUACAUUUCACUUUUCCAAAUGAUUGGUGAAGUACUAGGUCCUCGAAUGGGCAAAGAACUGCUGCAGAAUUCCCAGGCUGGUGGAGUACAUGCGGAGCCGAGGAAGCUGAAUGAGGGACCAGCCAGAGCCCCGGCCUAUCUGCUCAGAAGCAAUGGGUGGAUUCCUAGAGAACAGCGACCUCUGGAGGACCGUCGCAUCCACGAAAAGCCAGGUUGAGUCUAAACUGCCAUCUUCCCACCCGACACUGCUUUGGCACUCAUCCAGAAACGCUAAAGAUUCCAAUGGAUGGAGGAAGAGAAGGCUUCGUAGGAACCAGAACAGCUGUCAGCUGCAGAGCCAAGCUUCUCCAGGAAGCCUGAGUCAUCCUGAGUCCCUCCCAUCUCAGAAAUGGUGACUGCUCAUGGGGGCGGGGGGCUGCUUUCCUCAAGUAGGACCCAGGCAUUUUUCCCUUUAUUCUCCUCAACCCUUGAAGAAGAGAGGUAGCCCAGGCCAAAGCCUUAACACGUCUCCCUCAGGCUGCCUCAUGAGAAAGACGGUAGAGCAGAAAAGACAGGAGCCAUGUUUUUUAGGAGUUGGUUCUCUCUUUCUAACACAAGGAUCCCAGAUCAUCAGGUUUGGUGACAAGUGCUUUUACCAGUGAGCUCUAUCAUCAGCCCCUAUUUUGUUUGAUAUAGGUCAGAAAACACUCACCUGCCAGUUACAGAGGUCAUCAUGCCAUGGCAGAAAGAACUAGAUACAUUCUCCCUGUUUUUAUAGGAGGUUUAGGCUAAGGCCAAGGUAGAGUCUUGUGACCAGUUUCCUCACAGCUCCCCCAUGGUAUAAAGCACAUUGUAUGACUGUCUGCCAAAGUCUGUAAGUUGAAAUGCUAUUUAAUUUGUCUCUGAGGUCUCAUUGUGGAGGAGUACAGGGCCUGGCUCAAUCUAAGAGUUUAGGGGAAUUAAGAAUUGCUGUGAAAACCAUAGAAAGGGAAAGGCUUUUGGCUGGGCAUUAGGCCUGGGACUAGACCUCAUGUUUUCUGCCUCAGCCUCACACCCGUUCCUCAGUUUUCCUCUUACAGUGUAAGGCAUCUCUCUAUACCUAAAACUACACUUCCCAACCUCCUUCCUCCUUCCUUUACAGUGGGGCAGCUGCCAGGCACUGCCAAGAGGAAGUAGAGAGGAAAUUGGAGAUCUGGGAGGGAUUCUCAGAGAAUGUGGGAACUACGGUCAACUUCCUAUUCCAUACCAAACAAGUGGGUUUCUGACUGGAACAAGGACCUGGUCCUCCCCAGGCUAGUAUGUCAUCCAAGAGAAUCCUGGCUUCACUCCAAUGAUUUCCCUCAUUGGAUUUCCUUCAUUUGCUUCAAAUAAGUGCAUACAGCAUGGCCAACAGGUGGCACUGUUGUCCCCACAGAGUUGUUGGGGAAGAGGAAAGAGACAAUCAGAGGAGGCAACCUAGACAGAGGGGAGAGGAAAUUGAAAAUGAGUCAAGAAAAGAGAAAUCUAAAACCUGUCACUUGGCUUGAAAUGACACCUUUCAAUAUCCAAAUUGGGGCUGGGUACCAGGGUGAGGACUCGGGGUGAACCAAGCUUGUUACUGGUGGCUGGGGCCUUCCAUCCAAACUUUCACGUCUACUCAGUUCUUUCUUGGAGACAGGAGUUAAGCAGACCUGGAGCCAAGUCUUGAUCCUGCCAGUCACUAUGUAGCUUGAUCUGGGUAAAAGAAUUAACUUCUAGAAAUUUCAUUUCAUAAUUUGUAAAUGGUAUGAUAUAUAGCACUUAUAAAAGGAAGCUAGAGGCUGGAGAGAUGGCUCGCUGGUUAAAAGCAUUUCCCGAUCUUCUGGAGAACCUGGUUUUGAUUCCCAGAACCCUCACAAACACCUUGUAUCUCUGACUCCACUCAACUCUUUGGGCAUCCGCACUCAUGUCCUCUCUCUCUCUCUCUCUCUCUCUCUCUCUCACACACACACACACACACACACACACACACACACACACUAAAAUAAAAUAAAAUAAAAACUAAAGAAAAGAAAAUAAAAGGAAAGAAAUAAUCCC